ensembl:lncRNA
GCAGAAAUUCCUGAAGGAAAAUAUGAUUUUCAAAAUUCACAGCUUGCACUGCGUCGCAGUCUGGUUUUUUGUUUUGUGGUUUUCCUUGUAUAUUACCUGAAACUCGGCCAUAGCAAUUGAAUGGUAACAUUUUUGUUUCAUUUGAAAAUACAAAGCCCGAUGGCAUGUUGAAAUCUCAGACUUGCCUGUUGGCGGCGUGUUUUAUGCCUAUUCAAACAUUUUUGCCUCGUGCAGAAAGAACAAAACCUUGUUAAAGACGCCCUAAAAACACAGACAGCGUUUUGAUUUUUGUGCUCUGUGUCAGAAAAUGCUAUCCCACUCCUACACACAGUGUCACCACUCUUUUGUGAGUGAGUGGAUUUACCUGCACACUCAUAAUGGUGAAAUGUGUGCAUAUAAACACACAUGAAACGUGAUUGUACUCCUAUGUGCGUCAGUCAGUAUCAGUGUAAAUGGCCGGAAACUGCGGAGAUGGCUCAGCUGAUGCAUAAAUGAGCGGAAACGCGAUACUGUAAUUACGCAGGGUUAUGACUAACAUCAAGGUUGAAAAGCAGUGCUCUAGACCAGCAUGGUAAUGUGCAUGUAAAUGCAUUUACUGACUCGAUUAGAGAGAUGUCAGAGGUCUGGCCACAGGCACCACCACCUCACACAUUGACUGUCUACUACACAACUUCUCUACUCUACAGGACCACAGGGAGGUUCUGAGAAAACAUCAUUUUAAAAAACAAAACAAAAAGCUUAACAUCAAUAAUUACGACAGUGUCUAUUGUCUAUAUCUUAAGAUAUGCUGUAAUGUAAGCUCAUUUCUUCACUUUCUUCCUCAUCAAUCAUCACCUCUCUCACCCAUCAAACCUCAACUCACAAAGAUGCUGUGACUAGGCCAUUAGAGCACCACACUGGGGAGGCCUCCUCAACCAUACGCACUACCUCUCCGUCUGCCUGCACGGACUCGAACACUGAAAUGCAUGAACACAAGCACUUAAUGCGCCAGCCUGCAGCAGAGCAGAUUGACAAGGUUGAUGAAAAGAAAUAUGGAUUACAAUUUUCACUCGUUUGUAUCUUGAACGCUAAGUGACAAUUAAUUUGUGGCGGUGCUUUUAGUUUGCCAAAGUAGCCUAGAUUCAGGCUCGUCUGUUAUUUUAGGUUGCAGUUGAAUUACAAUACCUUGCAGAUGUCUCGAGUUCUCCCUCAUUUCUUUAUAUUUCACUUCUAAUAAGUCACAUUUUCUUGUUAUUUUUUUUAUUUUAUUUUAAGUGGUCUUGAGUAAUAGUUCUGUAGGCUUUCUAAAGGUCUUUCAAAGUUCUUCUUGGGACAUUGGCUGCUACAUAAAAUAGUAAAAUGGUAUAUUUGCCCCAGCAAUGUGAUUCCCGAAUAGCUAUUAGCCAAAAAUUUGGCAUAUCUCAGCAUGGAGUGCUCUGAGUUCUUAAAAAAUUUGAGGAAAGUGGACAAAAGAAGAAAAGGCCGGUCCGUAGAAGUGUCUACAGCAGAAAGUGUUUUUUGUCUUAUAUACUUACAUAUUUGUUACCAUGUUUUCAUAAAUUGGUGCAGUUAUUUCCAAUUUCUUAGCAAGAUAUAAAGAAAUGAGGGGUGACUUUUGCACAGUACUGUAUUUCUGUAUUAUGGAUUAAUGCUUUUUAAGCAGCAGCAAUAUAAUGUCGUAUUUUAAAAAGAGAUAACGCAGUCCUCUCCUUCCAAAAAGGCCAAAACAUGGAUAAUAAUGAGGUGCCAAAAUCCAGCGCCGCCUGUCUCGUACUUUCCAAGUUGAUUCGAUUAAUCAUAGCAGAUGUGUAUGCAUUAUAAAGCGAUUGGUGCAGUCUGCAUUUACCAUGGAAGGAGUGUUGUUCAGAUGGCCUCUUUAAGUGCAAGUAUGUUGUUGUUGUUGUUGUUGUUCUUGAUAAUCACCUGGUCUGGGUUUGAUUUUGUAACAUGUGGAAAGUGUUCUGAACUGGGUUUGAUUUUUUUUUUAUAUAUUUACGUAUAUGAAUAUAAUGCUGUAAAGUGCAGUCAUAAAUUAAGAGAUUUCUCUUUCACAUCAAUAAAGGAAAGAAGUAAAACCACAGCAAAAAUGCACAAGUAGAA